rnacentral:rRNA from 1 species
ACGGAAGGCAGCAGUGGGGAAUAUUGCACAAUGGGCGCAAGCCUGAUGCAGCGAUUCCGCGUGAGGGAAGAAGGUUUUCGGAUUGUAAACCUCUGCCAUCGGGGACGAUAAUGACUGUACCCGCGAAGGAAGCUCCGGCUAACUACGUGCCAGCAGCCGCGGUAAUACGUAGGGAGCGAGCGUUAUCCGGAAUUACUGGGUGUAAAGGGAGUGUAGGCGGGACUGUAAGUCAGAUGUGAAAUAUACCGGCUCAACUGGUAGACUGCAUUUGAAACUGCGGUUCUUGAGUGAAGUAGGGGUAAGCGGAAUGCCUAGUGUAGCGGUGAAAUGCGUAGAUAUUAGGAGGAACAUCAGUGGCGAAGGCGGCUUACUGGGCUUUAACAGACGCUGAGGCUCGAAAGCGUGGGGAGCAAACAGGAUUAGAUACCCUGGUA